UAAUAGAUACCCGGGUAGUCCACGCCGUAAACGAUGAGUGCUAAGUGUUAGAGGGUUUCCGCCCGUUUAGUGCUGCAGCUAACGCAUUAAGCACUCCGCCUGGGGAGUACGACCGCAAGGUUGAAACUCAAAGGAAUUGACGGGGGCCCGCACAAGCGGUGGAGCAUGUGGUUUAAUUCGAAGCAACGCGAAGAACCUUACCAGGUCUUGACAUCCUCUGACCUCCCUAGAGAUAGGGCCUUCCCCUUCGGGGGACAGAGUGACAGGUGGUGCAUGGUUGUCGUCAGCUCGUGUCGUGAGAUGUUGGGUUAAGUCCCGCAACGAGCGCAACCCUUGACCUUAGUUGCCAGCAUUCAGUUGGGCACUCUAAGGUGACUGCCGGUGACAAACCGGAGGAAGGUGGGGAUGACGUCAAAUCAUCAUGCCCCUUAUGACCUGGGCUACACACGUGCUACAAUGGAUGGUACAAAGGGCUGCGAGACCGCGAGGUUAAGCCAAUCCCAUAAAACCAUUCUCAGUUCGGAUUGCAGGCUGCAACC
rnacentral:rRNA from 1 species